UGUUAUUUCUUGAACUGCUUUCAUAUAUGGGCAUGUUGAUUGUUUUGCAGAAUUUUAUUUUGCGGUCUGUUGGAAUAAUGCUGGUGUUCACUAUACCUCAGUUCAUCAUCUCCAUCUGUAUAUCAGCACUUGCCUGCAAAGCCACCUGCAACAUCCAUUCUACAGUGGUCAAUGUGGCACUAAACCAGGGAUACUAAGUCAUGGUGAGGAGAUCCUAGCAUCCAAAGGCUACAGAGAAUUAAAGUCUCAUAUUCUUGUUUUAGAUUUUAAAAAUAUCUGUUGUCCAUAUUUUAUAAUUAUAUGUGAAAUGGAUUUUAAUAUGCUUCUGCAUCAGACAUGGCCCAAUGUUUUGUAAUGUAUUGUUUAUGUCAUGUUUAAUAUGGACUAAAGAUUACAUUUGUUAACCAGGAUUCUUAAGUUUCUCCAGAAACUUGUAUUUUAGUUUGUUGU
rnacentral:lncRNA from 1 species